AUUGAACGCUGGCGGAAUGCUUUACACAUGCAAGUCGAACGGCAGCACGGACUUCGGUCUGGUGGCGAGUGGCGAACGGGUGAGUAAUACAUCGGAACGUGCCCAAUCGUGGGGGAUGACGUAGCGAAAGCUACGCUAAUACCGCAUACGAGCUAAGGAUGAAAGCGGGGGAUCGCAAGACCUCGCGCGAUUGGAGCGGCCGAUGGCAGAUUAGGUAGUUGGUAGGGUAAAGGCCUACCAAGCCGACGAUCUGUAGCUGGUCUGAGAGGAUGAUCAGCCACACUGGGACUGAGACACGGCCCAGACUCCUACGGGAGGCAGCGGUGGGGAAUUUUGGACAAUGGACGCAAGUCUGAUCCAGCCAUUCCGCGUGCAGGAUGAAGGCCCUCGGGUUGUGAACUGCUUUUGUACAGAACGAAAAGGCUCUGGUUAAUACCUAGGGCUCAUGACGGUACUGUAAGAAUAAGCACCGGCUAACUACGUGCCAGCCGCCGCAGUAA
rnacentral:rRNA from 1 species